rnacentral:rRNA from 1 species
GAGGCGAACCGGGGGAACUGAAACAUCUAAGUACCCCGAGGAAAAGAAAUCAACCGAGAUUCCGAAAGUAGCGGCGAGCGAAAUUGGACUAGCCCUUAAGCUUUACACGCGUUAGACGAACGGUCUGGAAAGUCCGACGAUACAGGGUGAUAGUCCCGUAGUUGACGACGUGUGUUCAGUGAAAUCGAGUAGGGCGGGACACGUGAUAUCCUGUCUGAAUAUGGGGGGACCAUCCUCCAAGGCUAAAUACUACUGACUGACCGAUAGUGAACCAGUACCGUGAGGGAAAGGCGAAAAGAACCCCUGUGAGGGGAGUGAAAUAGAACCUGAAACCGUGUACGUACAAGCAGUAGGAGCAGGCUUUGUCCUGUGACUGCGUACCUUUUGUAUAAUGGGUCAGCGACUUAUAUUCAGUGGCAAGGUUAACCAUCUAGGGGAGCCGUAGGGAAACCGAGUCUUAACUGGGCGUUCAGUCUCUGGAUAUAGACCCGAAACCAGGUGAUCUAGCCAUGGGCAGGUUGAAGGUUGAGUAACAUCAACUGGAGGACCGAACCGACUAAUGUUGAAAAAUUAGCGGAUGACUUGUGGCUAGGGGUGAAAGGCCAAUCAAACCUGGAGAUAGCUGGUUCUCCCCGAAAGCUAUUUAGGUAGCGCCUCGGACGAAUACUACUGGGGGUAGAGCACUGUUAAGGCUAGGGGGUCAUCCCGACUUACCAACCCUUUGCAAACUCCGAAUACCAGUAAGUACUAUCCGGGAGACACACGGCGGGUGCUAACGUCCGUCGUGGAGAGGGAAACAACCCAGACCGCCAGCUAAGGUCCCAAAUUACUACUAAGUGGGAAACGAUGUGGGAAGGCUCAGACAGCCAGGAUGUUGGCUUAGAAGCAGCCAUCAUUUAAAGAAAGCGUAAUAGCUCACUGGUCGAGUCGGCCUGCGCGGAAGAUGUAACGGGGCUAAGUAGUAAACCGAAGCUGCGGCAAUNUUACUACUAAGUGGGAAACGAUGUGGGAAGGCUCAGACAGCCAGGAUGUUGGCUUAGAAGCAGCCAUCAUUUAAAGAAAGCGUAAUAGCUCACUGGUCGAGUCGGCCUGCGCGGAAGAUGUAACGGGGCUAAGUAGUAAACCGAAGCUGCGGCAAUGUGCUUUUGCACAUUGGGUAGGGGAGCGUUCUGUAAGCGGUUGAAGGUGUGUGGUAACGCAUGCUGGACGUAUCAGAAGUGCGAAUGCUGACAUGAGUAACGAUAAAGGGNACUCUUUGAGUAUUGGGUAGGGGAGCGUUCUGUAAGCGGUUGAAGGUGUGUGGUAACGCAUGCUGGACGUAUCAGAAGUGCGAAUGCUGACAUGAGUAACGAUAAAGGGGGUGAAAAACCUCCUCGCCGGAAGACCAAGGGUUCCUGUCCAACGUUAAUCGGGGCAGGGUAAGUCGACCCCUAAGGCGAGGCCGAAAGGCGUAGUCGAUGGGAAACGGGUUAAUAUUCCCGUACUUCUUACAAUUGCGAUGGGGGGACGGAGAAGGCUAGGUGGGCCUGGCGACGGUUGUCCAGGUUCAAGUGCGUAGGCUUAAGAGUUAGGUAAAUCCGGCUCUUUCUAAGGCUGAGACACGACGUCGAGCACCUACGGGUGUGAAGUCAUUGAUGCCAUGCUUCCAGGAAAAGCCUCUAAGCUUCAGAUUGUAAGGAAUCGUACCCCAAACCGACACAGGUGGUCGGGUAGAGAAUACCAAGGCGCUUGAGAGAACUCGGGUGAAGGAACUAGGCAAAAUGGUACCGUAACUUCGGGAGAAGGUACGCUCUUGAUGGUGAAGUCCCUCGCGGAUGGAGCUGACGAGAGUCGCAGAUACCAGGUGGCUGCAACUGUUUAUUAAAAACACAGCACUGUGCAAAAUCGUAAGAUGACGUAUACGGUGUGACGCCUGCCCGGUGCCGGAAGGUUAAUUGAUGGGGUUAGACUUCGGUCGNCGACGGUGAAGUCCCUCGCGGAUGGAGCUAUUGAGAGUCGCAGAUACCAGGUGGCUGCAACUGUUUAUUAAAAACACAGCACUGUGCAAAAUCGUAAGAUGACGUAUACGGUGUGACGCCUGCCCGGUGCCGGAAGGUUAAUUGAUGGGGUUAGACUUCGGUCGAAGCUCUUGAUCGAAGCCCCGGUAAACGGCGGCCGUAACUAUAACGGUCCUAAGGUAGCGAAAUUCCUUGUCGGGUAAGUUCCGACCUGCACGAAUGGCGUAAUGAUGGCCACGCUGUCUCCACCCGAGACUCAGUGAAAUUGAAAUCGCUGUGAAGAUGCAGUGUACCCGCGGCUAGACGGAAAGACCCCGUGAACCUUUACUACAGCUUGGCACUGAACAUUGACCCUACAUGUGUAGGAUAGGUGGGAGGCUUUGAAGCACGUACGCCAGUAUNGUGUACCCGCGGCUAGACGGAAAGACCCCGUGAACCUUUACUACAGCUUGGCACUGAACAUUGACCCUACAUGUGUAGGAUAGGUGGGAGGCUUUGAAGCAGGUACGCCAGUAUCUGUGGAGCCGUCCUUGAAAUACCACCCUUGUAGUGUUGAUGUUCUAACGUCGACCCCUAAUCGGGGUUGCGGACAGUGCCUGGUGGGUAGUUUGACUGGGGCGGUCUCCUCCCAAAGAGUAACGGAGGAGCACGAAGGUGGGCUAAUCACGGUUGGACAUCGUGAGGUUAGUGCAAUGGCAUAAGCCCGCUUGACUGCGAGAAUGACAAUUCGAGCAGGUGCGAAAGCAGGUCAUAGUGAUCCGGUGGUUCUGAAUGGAAGGGCCAUCGCUCAACGGAUAAAAGGUACUCCGGGGAUAACAGGCUGAUACCGCCCAAGAGUUCAUAUCGACGGCGGUGUUUGGCACCUCGAUGUCGGCUCAUCACAUCCUGGGGCUGAAGUCGGUCCCAAGGGUAUGGCUGUUCGCCAUUUAAAGUGGUACGCGAGCUGGGUUUAGAACGUCGUGAGACAGUUCGGUCCCUAUCUGCCGUGGGCGUUGGAAGAUUGAAGGGGGCUGCUCCUAGUACGAGAGGACCGGAGUGGACGAACCUCUGGUGUUCGGGUUGUGUCGCCAGACGCAUUGCCCGGUAGCUAAGUUCGGAAUCGAUAACCGCUGAAAGCAUCUAAGCGGGAAGCGAGCCCUGAGAUGAGUCUUCCCUGAUACUUUAAGUAUCCUAAAGGGUUGUCGGAGACUACGACGUUGAUAGGUCAGGUGUGUAAGUGCUGUGAGGCAUUGAGCUAACUGAUACUAAUUGCCCGUGAGGCUUAACCAU